rnacentral:snRNA from 13 species
UGACUCUGGUUUCUCUUCAUUACGCACAAGCCUUUCGCCUUUUACUAAAGACUUCCGUGGAGAGGAACACUUACGAGUUCGACGUAUUUUUGGAGCGGCUUAGCUUCUUGCAGAGCC